GACGAACGCUGGCGGCGUGCUUAACACAUGCAAGUCGAACGGAAAGGCCCUGCUUUUGUGGGGUGCUCGAGUGGCGAACGGGUGCGUAACACGUGAGUAACCUGCCCUUGACUUUGGGAUAACUUCAGGAAACUGGGGCUAAUACCGUAUAGGAUCUCCUGCUGCAUGGUGGGGGUUGGAAAGUUUCGGCGGUUGGGGAUGGACUCGCGGCUUAUCAGCUUGUUGGUGGGGUAGUGGCUUACCAAGGCUUUGACGGGUAGCCGGCCUGGGAGGGUGACCGGCGACAUUGGGACUGAGAUACGGCCCAGACUCCUACGGGAGGCAGCAGUGGGGAAUAUGGCACAAUGGGCGGAAGCCUGAUGCAGCAACGCCGCGUGCGGGAUGACGGCCUUCGGGUUGUAAACCGCUUUCGCCUGUGACGAAGCGUGAGUGACGGUAAUGGGUAAAGAAGCACCGGCUAACUACGUG
rnacentral:rRNA from 1 species